rnacentral:rRNA from 1 species
AGCAGCCGCGGUAAUUCCAGCUCCAAUAGCGUAUAUUAAAGUUGUUGCAGUUAAAAAGCUCGUAGUUGAAUUUCGGGAUUGACGUGACGGUCGUGCCUUAAGGGGUAUGAACUGUCGCCGUUGAUUUCUCACCUUCUGGAGAAGCUCGAUGUCCUUAAUUGGAUGUCUUGUGGAACCAGGACCUUUACCUUGAAAAAAAUUAGAGUGUUUAAAGCAGGCAUUUUUGCUCGAAUACAUUAGCAUGGAAUAAUAGAAUAGGACGGCAUGGUUCUAUUUUGUUGGUUUCUAGGAUCACCGUAAUGAUUAAUAGGGAUAGUUGGGGGCAUUAGUAUUCAAUUGUCAGAGGUGAAAUUCUUGGAUUUAUUGAAGACUAACUACUGCGAAAGCAUUUGCCAAGGAUGUUUUCAUUAAUCAAGAACGAAAGUUAGGGGAUCGAAGACGAUCAGAUACCGUCGUAGUCUUAACCAUAAACUAUGCCGACUAGGAAUCAGACGAUGUUAAUUUUUUAAUGUACUCG